rnacentral:lncRNA from 1 species
CGGCUGGACCAUUUUGUGACUCUGUAAGGAAAAUGGCUGACAAAGAUGCACAACCUAUGAUAUGUCCCAGCAGCGGUGUACAUAUUGUUCUCCCUGAUUACUAUUCUCCAGAAGGAAUGGGCUUGAUUGUCCCUAAAACUAAGGAUGGACGUGUUGUUUUCAUGCUGCCAUGGUUGGGGAGAACUGUAGCUGGCACAACAGAUUCUAACACUUCCAUCACCCCACUUCCUGAACCACAUGAGGAUGAAAUUCAAUUUAUACUUGAUGCCAUCUGUGAUUACCUUAAUGUCAAGGUAUGACAUGGAUUUAUCAAUGUCAAAUAUGUUCUAAAUUUGUGAUUUUAGAAACCGAAUGUAUUAGAUUCAAUCUAGUUAGCUUUAUCUUUUUACUUUCUUUCUUAUUGAGUCUAUUUUUUUGGUAAAUACUUAGUCUAAUUUUGGAUUUAAUUUAUGGUGGAAAAUUUUAGGUGCGACGAACUGAUGUUCUUUCUGCCUGGAGUGGUAUUCGUCCAUUGGCAGUGGAUCCUAAAGCAAAGAACACUGAGAGCAUCUCUAGAGAUCAUGUGGUUUCUGAGGAUUAUCCUGGUUUAGUCACAAUUACUGGUGGAAAGUGGACUACUUACCGAAGGUAAUGUUUACUUGGAUUCUGCUAGAAUUUUCUUUUGGGAUAGGCAGAUAUUCAGGGUUUGUUCUCAAUACAUGAUUGUCAGUAUUAGUUGUGUUCGUGGUUUACAGUCGCCCAUCAAGGGCUGAAUUUAUCCUGAUGGGCUACUGCUGAACUAAACAUCGAAUGAAAAUUUGGAGUUUAGGUAUUUUUGAACUACAGAUCUCAGGAUGUACAUUCUUUGGAUUCCCUUGAUUUUGGAGCUCAGGAUCUCAUUCUGUUGAUCCCCUCUCCUUCCCUCUCUGUUUUCUUUUUGGCAUAAGUUUUUGUGCUUACUAGAGCUAGUUUCAGCAUGGCAGAAGAUGCGGUUAAUGAAGCUAUCAAGUCUGGUAAACUGAGCCCAAGCAAUGAAUGUAUAACAAGAAGCCUGCAGCUGACUGGUGGAGAUGGAUGGGAACCCUCAUUUUUUACUGUUCUUUCUCAGCAGUAUGUUCGCAUGAAGAAGUCAUAUGGUGGUAAAGUUGUUCCUGGGGUGAUGGACACAGCCGCUGCAAAGCAUUUGUCUCAUGCAUAUGGCACAUUGGCAGAAGGAGUAGCCACCAUAGCUCAGGUUGGUUUGCUAUGUUCUCAUAACAGUUAAUUGUUGGUCUUAAUGGCUGUAGUGGUUGGAUGAGGUAAUUGUGCAUCUGUCUAUUGGACAUUGGGCUUUGAGUGUUGAACAAAUUUAGGGAUUGUAGUGUAUAUUUACCUAAUGACACCUCAUAAAUCUAAAGUGUCAAAAACAGUGAAUUGGUAUAACUUUAAAGGAUCUUCAUUCUGAUGUAAUGUUGCUUCAUUCUUCUAAAAGUGAUAAGAUAACUGGAGAUAAGCUCAGCAUUAUAGUCUUAGGCUUUUCUAUGGCAUUGCUUGAUGAGAGAGGAUGUGUAUGCAAAUUUUACUUGGGCUUUGUUUGGUAAAUGCUUUUACUUUUUGUGUUUUGCUAUUUGUCUUUGGUAUUCUGUUCAUAUUUUUUUUUGCCUUUUCCUUUCUGUUCUUUUUUUUUUUUUUUGCAAAAAAGUAAAAGUAUCUGCCAAAUGGAACCUUAGAAUGUCACAAGUUUCUUCUCAUUAUGUAUUUCUGGUGAUAGUUUAAGAGUCAUGCUAAUUUGAUGUUCUGAAUUCACAAUUUUUAUGGCUUUGAUAUUGUGAAACAUCAUGUGUAAUUUAUGUUCCAUGUCAAGAGGAGCUGACAUUUCAAAAUACUUCUUAACUAUCAGGUUACAAUGCUUGUUUAAAAUUUAAAUUACCAACUUGGGGGCUGCCAGGGAGGGGACAAGCAAUUUUAGAGCACUAGUUAUAGUUCUUUAUUACUCUUUUUGAGUUCUUUGAUUUUUCUUAGUGUAAUUAAUUUAGAUACUAAUUCUUGUCUUAUUAAAUAUAUAAGAACCUUAUUAUCCAUUCAAUUGAAAGUGCAAUAGCCUCUUUUAGUUUUAAGAGAACAAGUUUUAUGAAAUGGAUUUUGUGUAAAGCACUUGAAUUCUUUAUUCCAAGUCCCACCAUCUGAUCUAGUGAUCUAGCAUAGAGCUAUUUGGGAAUAUUUAUGUAUAAUAUUAUUUGAAAAUUGCAAUUCAUGUCUGUGAACACUGAACAUGCAAUUUUUAUUUUCUUCUUGGUUGGUUAACAUUUCAAAUCUGCCUUUUAAUUUUUAGAAUGAAACUCUGGGUAAGAGGCUUGCACAUGGGUACCCUUAUUUGGAGGCAGAGGUUGCAUAUUGUGCUCGUAAUGAGUACUGUGAGUCUGCUGUUGAUUUCAUUGCCCGGAGAUCUCGCCUUGCUUUCCUUGACACUGAUGCAGCAGGCCGUGCGUUGCCACGCAUUAUCCAAAUACUUGCUACUGAGCACAACUGGGGCAAGUCAAGGCAGAAGCAAGAAAUGCAGAAGGCUAAAGAAUUUUUGGAAACUUUCAAGUCUUCAAAGAAUGCACAGUUCCAUGAUGGGAAGCACGAGUAGUGAGUAUUACAUUUUAUUCAUUACUUCAGGCAUAGACUUUAAAGAAGUUUUGUAUAAUAAAUUAAUAAUAUGUUGCUGUUAACUUUGUUUUAGGGUCUUGAAAUCAAUGAACCAGAUUUUUGGAGCUCAAGAUUCUCCUUAAUUUUAUGCGGCUGGUUUCCACCAUGCUUAUACAGGCACAUAUAUCUUCUACUUCAUUUGGCAAAGCAGCGGAAUCUGAAUCAUAUUCCAUAGCAUGCACAGCUUUUGGAGGCACUUGAUUUUGUUGAGCUUGCUUUGCAUGAUUAAUAAUGCAACUUGUAAAAGAUUGCCGGUCCCCAGGAAACUUUAGCAUCUUGUUGGACCUGUCUUAAAAGGUUGGGGACAAUUUACUGAUUCACAUGGGUAAAUACAUUUUUCUAACUUUAUACAAGUCUUUUCCCCUGCAUUUCUUAUAAUUUCUGGAUACAUGCUUCAGAAGUAUCGGUGUCCAGUUUUUACUUGUAUUUUGUCUUCUCAAUUGAGAAAUAAAAGAAACAUUGAAUUAUUUUAGUUUUCUGUCAACUGUCAUAUUCACCAUUUGCCUAUCUUGAUCAUAGGAAAACUUUGAAUUAUCUGAGCCAGAAUCACAUGCUAUGCACUUCUUUUUGAAGGUUAGGCUAGCUCUCUAUAAGGAAAUAGAUCCAGUCAACAAGUGUUUUCAGUUGAGCCUCAGAAACAAAAGUUCAUUUGAGCAUAUGUAUGUGGAAUUUUGAUCUUCUUUGGCUACUUAUCUUUCCAUAAAUUUUUGGGGAAUUAAUUAUUUUAGGUAUGUGACCGUUGGAAUUGUGUAAUGGCCUAGCGACAGUGUAUCGCUGUGGGAAGAGCCAAUGCAAUUGUUCCAUGCUGAAGCCCGGAUUUCGGUCUGUUUCAGCCUACAAUUAUCAAGCCCAUCACAGCCCGUAUAGGUCACUGCUUCAUAUCUAUUAUUAUACGCGACUAUUUAUUUUUUUAUUUGUUUCUAAAUAAAUAAUAAUAAUUACAUAUCGAAUAUAAAGUUGCAUAUUGUACAAAUAACUAAAACUAAUAACAUGCAUAUACUAACCGGCAAUUACAUUAACAUCAAAUUUGUUUGCCUCAUGUAUAAAGUAUAUCAUAUAAACAUAAAGUUUAUUACUUUUACUGUUUAGUGUAAACUUAGAAUUCUGAAGAUAAUAUAACAUAAUAUAAAGUUUAAUUUAUUUUUAUUUAUCAAAUAAUUCCAUUAACAUGGAAAUCUUAUAUUGAAAUUAGAUUUUUUAAUUAAAAAUAGAAUAACUUUUAUUGAUAUUUUAUAAUAAAAUAUUUAAAAUAAUAAUUUAGAAAUAUAAUGAACAAAAUAUAUAUUUUUGUCAAUCAAAAGUUUACCCAUAUCUGUAUUUUUAUAUAUAUUAGUAUUUAUUGUCACGCCUGAGUAAUUAUUUUUUUAAAUUAUAGUUAAAUUAUAGUUAUGUAUAAAAGAUAAAUAUUUUCAAAAUUUCAAAUUAAUUGUCUAUAUCACUAAAAUAUAAUUACAAUUGAAAAAAAUUACAUAUAUAAAAGAUAAUUAAUAUUUCGAUUAUAUAUGAUUAAAAUUUUAUAUAAUCAUUUAUAAAUUAUUCAACACUAUUAGAUUAAGAAAAACAUUUUUAAUAAAAUUCAUUCAAUAAGAUUAGAAUUCUUAUUUACAAAUGGGGUAAAUCAUAUCAAUUAUUUAUAACAAAAAAUAUUUUAAAUGAAAGUCAUUGAAAAUUUUUAUAUAUUUACAAAUUAGAUCAUUUUUAUUAAUAUUAAUAAAAAAAAAUUGAAAAUAACAAUCUAAAAAUGUAUAGAACAAAUAUAAUUACUUUCAUUAUUAAAUUUUUUUUCAAUAUUCGUAUUUUUAUGUAUAUUAUAAAUGAACAUAAAUAAAUAAUUAGAUAUAAAACAUGGAUAAUAAUUCUUUUUUUUUUGUUAUGACAACGAUAAUAUUAUCCUAAUUUACCACGCGGCAGGAUAUGAAGUGCAAUAAUUUUGAAGGUGGAAACCCCCCAAAAUAUCCCCAAGAUUUAAAAUCCAGUGCCUACUGGCCAGCAAGCGAGCAAAGCAAAGCAAGAAAAAUGGGAGCACUGUCAUCUCUCCACCACCUCUCAACUUCCCUUUCCCUCCUUACCAGACCAUCCCUUUCUCUCCCUCCUUUCCUCCGCCCAAUCCGCGCCCUCCCUCCCAUCACCUCCUCCUCCUCUUUACAGUUCAACAUCACAUUUGCUCCUCCGAACCCCAAACUCAAACCCAGAACCCCUCCAAACCUCAAGAACGACGUUGUUCUCGACGACUCCGAAUCCCCUCCCCUUCCUUCCAAUGGCCAGCUAUUCAUCCCCUGGAUCGUCCGCGGCGAGGACGGCAACCUCAAACUCCAAGCUCACCCCCCUGCGCGCCUUAUCCACGCGCUUGCUGAUGCUAAAACGCAGAAGCCCAAAAAGAAGGUUGACAAGGCGGUGAAGAAAAAAAAGGAGAUUUCAGCUGUUGGAAAUGCAAGUGUUGAGCCGCCUAAGCUUUCCAAGGCGGCUAGAAGGUUUUAUAAUGAAAAUUUUACAGAGCCUCCUCAAAGGUUAAGUAAAGUCCUUGCUGCUGCUGGAGGUAAAUUCACUUUGUUUAAUAACAGAAAUCUUUAAUUUAAUUAUAAUAUUGGGUAUUUAUGGAAUAUUUGGAGCAAACUUACUUAUUACUACUAUUACUUGAAGAAGUGAUAUUCUAUACAUUGGUCCUGGUGUUUUUUUUUUAAUAUUAUUAUUAAAAACAAAAACUUUUAUAGGUGAUUCUGAAUGCUUUUCAUGUGUCUAUUUAGACGUUAGCUCAAUUAGAAUAUUGGGCAUUUGUGUAAUAUCAACCAAACUUAUUAGUACUUGUAGACUUGGUAUUCUAUACAUCUCUGCUGGAGUUUAAAACUUGUAAAAUGUGAUUUUGAAUGCUUCUCAUGUGUUUAUUUAGUUAAAUAUGUUAAUUAAAUCUCCUCUAGUUCAAUAAUAUUAUUGGGUAUUGGCGUAACAUCUGCCAAAUUUAUUACCCAUAGCACUGAUAUUCUAUACAUUAGUGGUAGAGUUUAAAAAUUCUUACAGGUGAUUCUAAAUGCUUGUCACGUGGCCAUUUAAUUCAAUAUGUUAUUUAUAAUGGAUUGUUAGUUUUAAACUUCACCUUUAGUAGAUGUAUUCAUAAUUCUUUGUAGAACGUGUAAUUGACUAUUUUUUUUUUGUUGCUUUUUGAAUGGUUGUGUUACUAGUGGCAUCAAGGCGUGGAAGUGAGGAGCUUAUUUUUGAUGGCAAGGUGACUGUUAAUGGUUCUGUGUGCAAUGCUCCUCAGGUAAGUGUGUAGUUCUUAGUCAAUUUGUCGUUGAAGUGCAUUUUUCUCAUGAAAAAAUGUUUCUCUUUCAUCACUUUUUUUACCAUCUAUGUGAAUUUGUGGAUCAUGUUCAGCCUACUUGAAGCAAUUGGGAAAAUGAAUUGGUAAAAAUGUAGUAGGAAGUCUAAGUUGUUCAUUAUUCUUUUUAUAGAGGUUUUAUUGGCAUCCUUACUAUAUUUUCUUUGCAUACAUUUUAAUUAUUCUUGUUUAGUUUUGCUGCUUGAAUUCCUAUAAAAGGUUUUAUACUUAGCUCAUUUUUUAUGGCGAAGGAGUUAUAUGCUCAUUAUAGGUGAUAAUUUGCAGACUCGAGUUGAUCCUGCAAAGGAUAUUAUUUAUGUCAACGGGAGCCGACUUCCUAAAAAACUACCACCUAAGGUGUAUCUUGCCCUAAACAAGCCCAAAGGGUUUGUCACCACUACUGAACUACAAUGCUCUUAAUGGCCUUUUGUGCUGUUUGCUUCAGUAUAUUAUCUGGAUCUAAUGCAAUCACGUUUUGCCAGGUAUAUUUGCUCAUCUGGGGAGAAAGAGUUCAAAUCUGUCCUGGAUCUAUUUGAGGAUUAUUUAAAGAGAUGGGUAUGUCCACGUUGCAACUUUUGAAGUAUGGUUUCUCAUUGUCAACUUAUUUGCAGCUACAAUUAUGGAUGCUUAGAAGAUUUUCUCUUGUCAAUGUCAUUUGCUUUAUAUAGAUUUAUAUCAUAUGUUUUAUUUAUUUCCUAUAGUUUUGCAAAAUUGUAAGAAGGAAGUUUGUUUUUCCAGGACAAAAUGAAUCGAGGUUCUCCCAAGCCACGAUUAUUCACUGUUGGCCGACUUGAUGUUGCUACAACUGGCUUGAUUAUUGUGACCAAUGAUGGUAUGUAUUUUGCUGCAUAUAUACCCAUCCUUAAGCUUGAUGACUGAGUCUUACCUAGAUAUCAAUUACCUUUUGUUGUCUGUUUCAGGAGAUUUUGCUCAAAAGUUGUCACAUCCUUCAUCCAACUUAAAUAAGGAGUAAGAUUCUUUGCAUUUUAUACUUUGUUAGUGACAGGGAUUACUGCACAUAGCUAGAGGUGGCACUUGGUUGGGUUGGGUUGGGUUGGGUUGGGUUGUGUUGAUCAUUUCGGUUUGGGUUAUCUUGGGGUCGGGUCAUUUGGGUUUUGACACUCGGGUUAUUUGGGUUGAAGUUGUUGACUUUUAAAGUAAAAUCAAUUUAGGUUUGGGUUAUGCUUCCGUAUCUUUUGAGUUUAGGUUGUUUCCCAUCUCUGCACACAGCUGUGUUGGAAGAAUGGUUCCAUUGUAAAAUUUAGUACUGUUGCCCAGGGACUAGUGACAUUGGAUAGUAUGCCUCUAAAAGAUGGUAGUAUUACAUUUUGAAUGGCAGUGGCUUGAUAUAUUUACCAACCUACUGCUUUUGCAUUAGGACUUUCAUGCUGUUAUGACUCAUUCAUUAUAUUCAUGUAUUCCAUUUACCUUUUGUUUUUUUAUUAUUAAAUGAUACCCUUCAUUUUUCAUAUUGACUAAGAUUUGGUUAUUUUCUGGGAUGCUAUUGUCAUUAACUGGAGUUCUAUUCCCUGUGACAAUGCAAUUACAGAUACAUUGCGACAAUUGAUGGUGAAGUAAAGAAGCGGCACUUAAUUGCCAUCAGUGAAGGGACAGAAAUUGAAGGCAUUCAUUGCAUCCCAGAUUCUGUGGAAUUACUUCCGCGGCAGCCAGAUUUGUCAAGACCUCGUCUUCGUAUUGUGGUAUUGGUUAUCUCAACAUGUGGUUUUGAUAAUACCAAUUCUUUGAUGAAUUUUAAAUUGGUUUAUAAUUUUAGAUAAUUUAAAGAAUUUUGAGCUUUUCCUCUUGGAUUCUGUGUAGUCAAAGAUUCGAUAUGCAAAUUUAGCCAUUAAUUUGAUGGGUUUAAAUUUAACAAUGUUAUUCUCCAAUCAUUUUCUUGGAAGUUAGUAAAAGAUGAGAGCUGUGUAAGAUUGCUUGACUUAAUUUGCUAAUUUUUCCUCCCCUUUCGCAAAAACUGGAUUUGCAGGUUCAUGAAGGGAGGAAUCAUGAAGUUCGUGAACUCGUGAAAAAUGCUGGACUUGAGGUCAGUUUCGGUCUUCUUACAUGACGUUUACUCACAUACCUAAAAUGGCUCAUUGUUUGCUCUAAAUUGAUCGAGUUUAUAUAGGAAUGGACCAUAACAAUAACUUAAAAUUGUUUGAUAAGGAAAUCAUUAGUAAUAUGAAAUUAUUGCCGCUUUGGAAUGAUAGGCUUAUCAUACCUAUUUGACCUUCCAUUCAUCAAGUUUCACUGGAUACUUUAUUUGUUUUUUCAAUCUUCUCUUUAACUUAUUUAUUGAUCUUAUUAUUUUUGUUUCUAAGGGUAUUGAUUUUUUUUUUCCAGAUUCAUUCGUUGAAGCGUGUACGCAUAGGUGGUUUCAGACUUCCAGCAGAUCUAGGGUAUUAUUUCGGACAAUGCCACUUUUUUACAUCAACAUUGAGGGUGCCUUUCCCCCACUCUUUCCCUUUCUUUUCUCCUUUCCAUAAUCACUCUACCAAAAGUCAGCUCGAUCAAAUGGAUACAGUUUGAUAGUAGCAAAGCCAGCUACUAUUGAACUAAUAAUCAUCACAUUGUAGAACCUGUGCUCUAGCCUCUGAGCUAAUUGUCUUGUUAAAUAUUCAACUUUCUUAGAGUACCACUUGCAAUCCUAGGGGAUUUUAUGAAUGCCCAAUAACCUUUCCUUUAUUUUCUGUGGGUUUCCUUUCAGAAGCUUUGGCUUGGAGCCUCUGUUCACAUGAGAAGGGUAAAAUACUACCAAUGUUUAAGCCUUUUGUUUACCCAUCUUUCAAUUAUUUUCGGUUUGAGUAAAACCAGUUUUCUUCUUCAAUAUCUUCCAUCAUAUGGGUAAAAUACAUCCUGUUUUCAAACAGAAAGUACCCUCCCUCUUCUUAGGCAGGUCCAACAGACACUGGGUUAGUCUCUUAGAAGCUUUAAUAUGCAUAGGUUUAAAGCUAACCAAAACCAGUUUCAGCAGGGAAGCUCUUGUAGAACCUUAAAACCAUGUGACAUUUUGUUUAGCAUCCCAGUUAGUACCUUCGAUGUACCAUGUGUUUAUUAAGAUAGGUUUGGCUUUUGUCUGCUAAUGACAGCUGUGGUUUGCAUGUGGAUUACCCUGCAAAUUAAAUUCUAGUUUUAGUUACAUGUGCACACAACAGAUUGUGGUAAUGUGUUCUUACAUUCAGGCUAGGGAAGCAUGUCGAGCUAAAACAGAGUGACCUUCGUGCAAUGGGUUGGAAGAGUUAGUGAAGUCACUGCUUCAGUGGCAGCAUCUGCAUUUUCUUUUUGGUCUCCAUGGAAGAGCCUUCAACCAGAUGUUACACGGCCAUAGAGUCACUGAUUUUUUGAGAGCAUGGGAACUGGCCCCUUCAUGGCAAUGGUUUAUGGGCCUAUGAGUUGGACGUCAUGAUUUCUCAUUGUGUUGGAUGACUAUUGCGGGCAGGCCACAUCUUUUUCUUUGGAAAAGGGCAGAAUUCUUAAAAUACUUCUGUGAGGUAAAAUUAUUUAUAUAGAUGUGAAGUUGUGUUGUACAUAUAGAGCUCUAAUACAUGCUACAAUACCAAACUGCUUCAUGGAAAUCACAUGAUUGUAAUGGAACUGGUUUAAAGAAAAGGAACUUCAGGGCAGAAGCAAUUGCAUUUUGUGAUGAAAAUUUGCACAAGGUUAUAGAAAUGUAUUAUUCCAUAAUUGCCAUGGUAGUAAAUAGAGCAUUAAGGAGUUGGUUUGACAUGCUCUGGACUGUGAUUAUUGAUAUUUAAAUGAAUGUUCACAUCACAGGAUAAUGCUCUCACUAUCUGCAUUUUGUUUGAGUUCUUAUCUGCAUGCGUUUUCUUCAUAUUGUCCAUAUUCGUUCUCAAUCACAACUUGCUGACAUCUAUGUUCAUUUAGGAAUUAGUCUAAUGUACUUCACAUGUGCAUAUACACAUGUACGUAUUCCAGAAGUGAUAUAAGCAUACAUAGCAGUCGAAUUCUAAAGGGGUAAAGCAGUCUCUACAUUCCCUUUUUUCUUGAAUAUUCACUACUGUCAAUUUCAACAUGCCUAAGGCUCACAUGCUUUUAAUUUCUCUUGGCAAUUUCACGAGUUCGAUGCAUCAACGGAGAUCCAGUGUUUGCAAAUUCUGUAACCUUGUCACUGAUUUAGGCAGUUCUCUAAUAUAAUGGUUUCUAAAAAGGUCGUAAUAGAGAUGUGAUUAUCAUGACCUGUUGAGAAACUUAAUGUAAGUUGAAAGGGUCUUUGCUCAUAAGAAACAUCUUAAAACAGAUUUUUCGAAAUGAUUUGGAGGCUUGUCAUUUUGAAUAAUAUAGUGGAAGAGUUAUUUAAAAUAUUAAAAUCUUGUUUUAAAUAUUCUAUGCAUAAUAUUCACAAAUUACUUAUUUAUUCAAGCUUAAUUAUAUUAAAACCUUGUUUUAACCCUUGAACUUGAUUGUAUUAAUUAAUUUGUAAAAAUGAUUGGAUGCAAACUGUUAAAUUAUCAUGUGGAUGAGGCCAUGCAAAAAGAAGUUUGCAAUGGGCAGGGCUCCAUAUGAUUAGUGUUAAAGAUAAGCACAGUUAGGUGCCCAUGAUUCAUUGGUAAAGCAAGAUGGAUCAGCAUCUAAGAUGGAUUCAUGAAUCCUGUUCGAUACUAUCUCCAGGAAAAGGGAAGAAUAUAAACCUUAAUUUGUGACCCAUUCAUUUCCCUCAUUUUUCUUGUUUGGAUCAAGGGGAAAUAUGAAGACUAAUUUUGAAGCACCACGUCCACAUUAGUAGGUUUGCUAGUUAAGGGUCAUGCUUACCAACUUAACAGUUGAUUUUGAUUGGCCUACAUGAGAAUUUACUUUCAUAAUCUGAAAGAUUAUUCUUCAUAUUUCUCUAUAUAUCUAAAGAUAGCAACCAUCUAAUGAUUGCCAGCAAUUAUUUUGAUGCUUCUUAAGUUGCAAUUUAUGCAAACAUACAUACGGCCUGAUCCGAAAUUUAGGACAUCAUAUGUUUUUUUUUUUUCAAAUAUAAUAACUAAAUAACUUAGAAAUCAAUAAUUUUAAAAAUUCUAAACUAGUAUUGAAUCAUCGAUAAAAAAAUUAUUUCGAAUAAAAAGAAAUUGAUAGAAUCGAAAUGAGUUUAAUCUUUUUAUUCGAUUAUAAUGAUUUCGAGUUUCGAUUUUGUCGAUUCAGUAUGAGGGGAUUGUAUUUUCUACAUUUUGUGUGCUAUAAUUUUAAAUUCAGAAAAUUUUUCUUUUUUUUUUUUUUUCCAAAAAGUAAGAAAUGUUAAGAUCCCAAAGCCAAACAGGUGCCUAUUCUACCUUUUUUGGGCUGUAUGGUUUCUUAUUCAUUCUCUAGAACACAACUCUUUUAUAAGAAUAAAUCCUUUCCUUUUGUCUUAUUAAAUUUUGGACUUCUCAAAGCCGAAUCUAAAGCCUUCUUUGUUUCACUUAUCGUUUGGGUUCUGAGGGCCCAUAAAUAUUAACCAGGACCCGUGCACAAACCUGUUACCGCCAAUGUUAAAACCCAAAUCCCGAACUCGGUCCUUUAAAUUAGCCGCUCUCACUUCUUCCUUAUACGAAAGAGAGAGACAGAGGAAGAGGGAGGGAGAGAUGGUUUCGCGAAACCUUAAGCUCCAGAAACGGCUCUCUGCGAGCGUUCUAAAGUGUGGAAAAGGAAAAGUUCGGCUCGAUCCAGAUGAGGUCAACGAAAUCUCCAUGGCCAACUCCCGUACGUCUUCCUCUUCCCUCUUACUCACUUCCUAACUUUUAUCUUUUUUAUAUUCAGCAGUUUUGAGUUUUAGGUACAAUUUAGACUUGAUUUGCAUCGUUUUUUUGCCAACUAAAAUGGUGGAAAACGAAGCUUAGAGCUUAAACUGGGGUUUGGAACAACGAAAGUUGUGACGGUCAAGUUCAACUUUUUAGGAAUUGAAUCUAAUAAUAGCUGCUCUAUUUCAAUUUAAAGCUCAGUUAUUUUUCUGAGUUUUAUUUAGUGAUUUACAACAGCCAAGUUUAAUAUAGUUUGCGGGGAUGAACUCUAGCUUAUACGCUAAAUUUAUGAAUUUGUAGGUAUUCUAUUGGAAAUACAAGGAAGGAAUACAUUCUUGAACUAAAACGUGUGGUGAAUCCAUAAAUUAACUUGAGGGGUUACUAGUUUUUCCGCAUUAGGAAAAUCGAAAUUUAGAAUAAUACGGUUUUCUGUUUCAUCAUUCUAUACCGUGGAGUAAUAGUGUGCAAUUGAGGCAGUCUCAUUUUUACCAUUUGCCAAAUAAAUAAAUAAUAUACUUUACCCUAAUAAACAUAUUUAAACAUAAAAACUCCUUGCUAAAGAAAAAAAUAAAACUUGUUUCCUAUAACUUUGCUGCAAACAGAGUAAAAUUGUACUGUUCAUAUAUAGGUUUCGUGCUGUUGUUUACCCUCUUUAGGGUACCAAACACUUCAAUUUUGUUUUGAUUUAAGGAGCCUUCAUUAGCGCAAUCCUAUUAUAGCUAUUUCAAUCUAUUUUUGAGUUUAUUCUUUUAGUUUUAUAUUUCUAAUGUUGCGCCUAAGCACUACAUUUCAUUGACUAGUUUGAUUAAAUGAAGAAUUAGGGUUUUUUUUUUUUUGUUGAAGCAAAUUAUCACAAAAUACUUUGCUUAAUAUCUUUCCAUCUUCUCCAUUUCGAGAAAACUUCUUUUAUUGUUUUUUGGUUUGGACUAAUAAUCAAAUUUAUCAACAUUAGAAAAUGGAGAUAGAAAAUUGAAUGGGAGGAAUUUGAUAUAAUUUCCAAAACUGAACGGAUCUUACCUUUGUCUUUUUCAGGCUUAUCUGAGCUGCCUGUAGAGUUAAUGACCAGACAAGAUUCAUGGAGGUAGAUGAACAGUUCAAUUUUUUUCUCUGUUUGUUUGCUGCAAAAUUAUAAGAAACAAGUGUUUUUUUUCUUAACAAGGAGUUUUUAUGUUUAAAUAUGUUUAUUAGGGUAAAGUUUUGUUGAGGUUCAUGUGAAACUAUUUGAUUUGGAUAGUUCAAAUUUAUUUUUUCACUGCUUUCAAUUUCUUAAUAUCUGAUUGACAUUAAGAGAAUCCUGUUUGCGUACAUUUGUAGUUUGGAAGGCAAUGAUAGUAAUGCUUUAAUGUUGUCUACAAAAAGAAGCAAAAAAAGGAAAGGGAAUAACCAGGUAUCAUCAAUGAUUUGAUUAGCCCUUGAUUCUUGUUUCGAUCAUAUUAAAUAAAAGCUUAGUGUGAAAUAAUUAUGCCUACAGGAGCUUGAAAAGGCCAAAGAGAAACAACACCCCAAAUUGAGUAAAUCUCAAAUAAGAAAGUUGAAGAAGUUGGAGGUACUUGCCCUUUCUUGAUGAUUGAUGCCCUACUUGGUUUUCCUUUUUUUCUUUUUUUUUUGUUUUGUGUGUGUGUAUGUGAUAGAGAGAUGACUUCUAUUUUGUUGGUGCAGGAGGAGAAAGAGAAGGCGCUUUUGCUAUCAAAGAGCAUUGAGACCUUGGAGUACUGUUCCUUUCUUUUUCUAAAUAAUGUAUCCUACUUUGUUUGUCUUUCAUUGAGGAAACUUAUUGAAUGUUUGACAAAUAUUAUAACAUUUACAUUUUCAGGAAAUACAAGAUUUCGGAAGAUGCAUAUUCUUUACUGCAGUCUUCAAAAACUAUUGGUUUGGUUUGUAUCAUUGAGUCUUUGCCAAAUUUAAAUCAAACAUGAUUAGUGUGCCUAAUAUUAAUUUGUUUAAGUAGGCUGAAACAAUGCGGGAAAAACGUAGGAGAGUUGUUCAGUUUUCGAAAGCAGGUAUAGAACCUCCAUAUGUUGACAAAUCUUCUAAGGGGAGAGGGGGUAAUAAUUCAUCAUCUUCUUCUGAACCUGAGCCUGAACCUGAAUUGGAGGAAAUCAACUCAAGGAAGUUGUCCACUGAUGGGCAGCCAUUGAUAAUAGAAAGAGAAGUUGCAAGAAAUGCACUUGGUCCUUUGGCAUCUUCUCAAGAGCCAGUUUUUGGUAAGGACCUAGACCCAAGCUGUAGUUCUGUUGAUACCUUACCAACUAAGGAGGUUUCCCUCAAGGAAAACAGCACACCUUUAGAAGAAGAUAUUAAAAACUGCAUUGCUAAGUUGUCCACUGAUGGUGGGAGAGAAAGCUCUAUGUCAAAGGUAAGUUGGAGUUUUGAAAGUUUAAUGUAUCAUUUGAAGAAAAAACUGCAAUUGAAGGGACAUUGUAUAUAUAUAAUAUUUUAGUUAGGUAUGAUUCUCAUAAGAUUUGAUGUUUAUAAAGCUUUGUGCCCUGUGUUGCUAAUUGCUAUGUAAGUCAUAAGUUGGAAACACUUUUUUAAGAUGUGAUGAAAAAAUUGAAAGUAUUUGCAAGAUGUAUCUUGACUCACAAAAGUUAAUUUGUUGUACAUAAGCUGACUAAAAGUGUAAAAGAAACAAUGAAAUAGAAAUUUCAAGUUUAAUUUUAAUUAAAAUUUCAUGCUUAAUUUCAUCAUAUUUUCUUUCAUGUUUAUCUGCUAUGUUAUGUUAUUGGCUUAUUUGAGAAGGUGGUUUGACAUGAGCUAGGUUGAUAAAAUAAGAGCCCAAACAUUCAUUUCAAUGGGACUUGUCAUGUUUAGGUUUGUUCUUUGCAGGGACUUCUUUCUGCCCCAACCGUAGUGCAUGUAUCUAGGCCAGAUGAGGUUGAAAACAAAAGGAAGGACCUUCCAAUAGUCAUGAUGGAACAGGAAAUAAUGGAAGCUAUAAAUGAAAAUUCUACUGUUAUUAUUUGUGGAGAGACUGGAUGUGGUAAAACCACACAAGUUCCUCAGGUAUGGCUGUUUGAUGCAUGAUUGUGUGUACUUACUGGGAUCUAAAAACUAAUUUUUCUGUUCAAUAAUUCUUUUUUUUUUUUUCCAUUUUUGUUCCAAUAUUUAGUUUCUUUAUGAAGCCGGCUUUGGUUCAAGCCAGUCUACUCUUCGAAGCGGUAUCAUUGGUGUUACUCAACCCCGUCGUGUAGCAGUCCUUGCUACUGCUAAGCGAGUUGCUUUUGAACUUGGUCUUCGUCUUGGUAAAGAAGUUGGGUUUCAAGUUAGGCAUGACAAGAAGAUUGGGGACAGGUGCUCUAUCAAGUUUAUGACUGAUGGAAUUUUACUUCGAGAAGUUCAGGUUUUACUUCCACUUACAGUUGUUAUCUAUAUAUACACAUACAUAUAUAUCUUAUCUGUGAUAACACUGAUGGCUAUGCAUGAAAAAUAAAAUAACUCUCAUUCUUUCUUUAGCAGCUUCAUUUUCAUAUUCUUCUUAUAUCUGCACAAUUUGUGGUGCAGAAUGAUGUUCUACUAAAGCGCUACUCCGCCAUAAUUCUGGAUGAGGCUCAUGAGAGGAGCUUGAACACAGACAUACUUAUUGGAAUGCUUUCUCGUGUAAUUCGACUUCGUCAGGUGAAACUUGAAAGAUUUUUGGUUCUACCUUGGGGCAAUAAAUUUAUUUUCUUCUAUGUUCACCCUCUUACUGUAUUGUUUUGUGGUUGAUGGCAGGAUUUGUAUGAGAAGCAACAGCGUAUGAUGCUUUCAGGACAAAGUGUAAGCCCUGAAAACUUGAUACUUCCGUUAAAUCUUGUUUUGAUGAGUGCUACACUGCGAGUGGAAGACUUCAUUUCUGGGAGAAAGUUAUUUCAUGUUCCUCCUCCUGUUAUUGAAGUUCCAACUAGACAAUAUCCAGUGACGGUACAUUUCUCAAAGAGAACAGAGCUUGUGGAUUACAUUGGUCAAGCCUUCAAAAAGGUCAUGUCAAUUCAUAAGAGGCUGCCACAAGGUGGCAUACUUGUUUUUGUCACUGGACAGAGAGAAGUGGAAUACUUGUGCCAAAAGUUAUGUAAGGCUUCUAGGGAUGUGAUCGCUAGUAUUUCUGAAGGGGACAAAAGUACUGACACUAGUGCUCCCUCUCAAAUCGAUUUGGUUGAGGGCAUUAAUAUGAAGGAUAUCAGUGAAGCAUUUGAGAUUCACGGAGACUCAACCCACCAGCAGACUGACAGGUUUAGCUCGUACGAUGAAGAUCAGUAUGAUUAUGAGGAGGAUGAUUCCGAUGCUUCUUAUGAUUCAGAGAUGGAGAGUGAGCUGGAAAUUUUCGGUGAGGAAAGGAACACAUUAGAACAAAAAUCCAUGGAUAAUGUCGAUAACUUGGUUGAUGCGUUUGGAGGGAAUGGAAGCCUUGCUUCUCUUAAGGCUGCUUUUGAUGCUUUGGCUGGGAAAAAUGGUUUGGAUGCUAAUCCUGAGGGAGGAGAGACUGUCUCUAUUAAUCCAGAGAACAGCUUAGAGCAACCACCUGCGCCCAUUGAAAAAAUUAGAGAAGGUAAUAGAAGUCUCAAUGCUGGUAUACUACGAGUUCUGCCUCUUUAUGCCAUGCUACCUGCUGCAGCACAGCUUCGUGUAUUUGAAGAGGUUAAGGAUGGAGAGCGGCUUGUUGUUGUUGCUACCAAUGUGGCUGAAACCUCUUUAACUAUCCCAGGAAUAAAGUAUGUGGUUGACACUGGGAGAGAAAAGGUCAAGAACUAUAAUCCCACCAAUGGUAUGGAAACCUAUGAAGUACUAUGGAUUAGUAAAGCAUCUGCUGCUCAACGAGCAGGAAGAGCUGGAAGAACUGGGCCUGGCCAUUGCUAUCGUCUCUAUUCAUCUGCAGUCUUUAACAACAUAUUUCCUGAUUUCUCUUGCGCUGAAAUAUCUAAAAUACCUGUUGAUGGUGUUGUUCUUCUUAUGAAAUCCAUGGGCAUUGAUAAGGUGAGCUUUGCAUGUAUUUUGUUUUUAUCUUUAAUGGUGUUGUUCUUUUUACGAAAUCCACGGGCAUUGAUAAGGUGAGCUUUGCAUGUAUGCCGUUGUUUCUCUCUAUCUCUUUAUAAAGUAUCAUAUUGAGGUCUAUGUGGUGGCUUUGUCAGAUAAUUUAUGUUGAGCUAAUUUUUUGGAUCCUAUGACACACACACACACACGCACGCAUAUUUGUUUAAUAACAUUUUUUUUCCCAUAAGCUCCUGCUGAUGCAUAUAUAUGAUAGGGAUCAUCAUUAAUUCUACUAAAUUAUCUGGAUUUUGUUAAGAGACAAAUGUUCAUUUUUUGUGUUUUAAUUUUACUCCUUUAGGACAUGCAGCAUGUAUAAUUCUGCCUUUACAGAGUCAAAUAUGUUAUCACUUGGUUCACUUGUAGUUAGUGAUGUCCAUUUUGGUUAUGACUAUAAUCCUUGAUCUGUUAAUGGGCUUUCUCAUAAGGUUCCUUAAAGUUUUAGGUUUUAAGGGACUAAUCUACUUGAUCUACAUUAACUUCUUGUCCCGUGAAAAUUGAAGUUGUUCAGCAAUGAAUAUUUAUGUCUUGUUUUCUGUGUUUUUGCAGGUGGCAAAUUUCCCAUUCCCAACUUCUCCAGGGCCCACUGCCCUGGUUGAAGCAGACCGUUGCUUGAAAGCCCUUGAAGCACUUGAUAGGAAUGGAAGGUUGACAUCUCUGGGGAAAGCCAUGGCUCAUUACCCUAUGAGUCCUCGCCACUCAAGGAUGCUCCUUACUGUUAUCCAGAUUAUGAGAAGGGUGAAAAGCUAUGCUCGAGCAAAUCUGGUUCUUGCGUAUGCAGUGGCAGCAGCUGCAGUUUUGAGCUUGACAAAUCCAUUUGUUAUGGAAUAUGAAGGGAGCUACAGUCAAACUGAUGAGUCGAAGCAGAAUGAUGGAACUGGUCCCUUAGAUGGUGAGAAAGUUUUGAAGAAAAAGGAAAAAUCACAGAAAAAGAAACUAAGAGAAAUGGCCAGAAUGUCACAUGCUAAAUUUUCUAAUCCUAGCAGUGAUACUCUGACAGUGGCUUAUGCAUUACAGUGUUUUGAGCUUUCAAAAAGCCAAGUAGAAUUCUGCAUUGAAAACAGAUUACAUCUGAAAACCAUGGAAGAAAUGUCCAAGCUAAGGAAGCAGCUUCUUCAGUUGGUUUUUAAUCAAAAUGUUCAUAAUGAUGUUGAACAGGAUUUUUUAUGGACUCAUGGAACUAUGGAAGAUAUAGAACACUCUUGGAGGAUCUCCUCCAGUAAGAACCCACUUUUACUGAAUGAGGAAGAACUCUUAGGCCAAGCUAUCUGUGCUGGGUGGGCUGAUAGGGUUGCCAAACGCAUUAGAGGAGUUUCAAGGUCCUCUGAAGGAGAUAGAAAGGUAAACACAGCUCGGUAUCAAGCAUGCUUGGUCAAAGAAACCGUCUUUCUCCAUCGUUCUUCAUCUCUUUCAAAUUCUGCUCCUGAGUUCUUGGUGUACAGUGAACUAUUACAUACAAAACGGCCAUACAUGCACGGGGUGACAAGUGUGAAAUCAGAUUGGCUUGUUAAUUAUGCCAAGUCGUAUUGCACUUUUUCUGCUCCUCUUGCUGAUCCUAAACCUUAUUAUGAUCCUCAAACAGAUGAAGUAUAUUGUUGGGUAGUACCCACUUUUGGGCCUCACCUAUGGCAACUUCCAUUGCAUAGUUUGUGGAUCAGUAAUGACGCACAUCGUGUGACAGUAUUUGCAUUUGCUUUGCUUGAAGGCCAAGUAUUGCCAUGCUUAAGGUCUGUUAAGCAAUUCAUGUCAGCCUCUCCUGAUAUCAUCUUAAAGCCAGAAUCAUAUGGUCAAAGACGAGUUGGAAAUCUUUUACAUAAGUUAAAGGCCCAGUCAAUCAACAGUUGUGCUCAGUUAAGACAGACAUGGGAGGAAAAUUCCAGGGAAUUGCAUUUAGAAAUUCUUGACUGGUUUCAAGAAAGUUUCCACAAACAAUUUGCAAAGCUUUGGUCAGAGAUGCUCUCUGAAGUCCUUCUAGAGCCUCAAGAACGUUUCCCCAAAAGAGUGAAGAGGGAUAAAAGGAAAAAAUAAGUUGCUUAUUUGAAAUCAGUUUCUUGUACAUGUUUAAGAGCUUGGCAGGGGAAGAAUGAUUUAUAUAUUGAACCAUUUACAGAUGAAGAUGAAAAAGCUUUGAUGAUAUCUUUUUGCUCAUUAUUAUAUAACAAGCCAAGAGUUUGACACUGCUGCACAGUGCAGCUGGAGCAGCAGUGCUUAACCAUGCAGAAGUUGUAUCCUUUCUUAAAGAUGAACCUCCUGAGUGGAUAAUUGGUGCAAGAAUUAGUGACAAUCUGUCAGGUAAAGCAGGCAUAUUCUUUCCUGCUUGUGCUGUUAUUCUGUUCUUGUACUCUUCUUGAAAUACUCUGAAAUACUCUUCUGUCUUGAUUAUUCUCUUUUCUGUUCUUUUCCUCUCUAUGAAAUACCUCAAGUUUGCAACGGAGAAAAAACUCAAAGGACAAUAAGAUUAAAGAAAUACUUUAAUAACCUGUUAGGUAAUUUAUUGGUAAGGGUGUAAAGCAAAAACCUAUUAUGGUUCUUCUCUGACAUGACCAGUUGGCCUUUUCUUUCACAUAGAUAAUGAUGCUCUGUGGUUGGAAAUAAUAAGUGUUUUUCUUCCUGUUUUAGGGCAUUUAUUAUCAAGCUUUACAUUCCAAAUAAAUUGAUAUUCUACACACAUGCACACACACUCACGCAUAUAUAUUCUUUUUGGCAUAUCUCAUGUACUUUGAGGUUAAAGCAUUGUUGAGUUAUUUUUGUAAUGUUAUAAAGAUUUAGACAAGAGGAGCUUUUUGUUGUUCAUUUUCAGCGAAACUGGUUUACACAUGAGCACCAAAACGUGUUUUGAAAAUUAAGCUUUUUGUUGUUCAUUUGCCAUGUUCUUGCUUCAAAAUUAAGCUUAUUGAUGUAUUUUGAAACUGGUGUAAUUAGGUAGCUUAAGUAAUCAUUUGUUUGGUCUUCUUGCUCAUUAUUAUAUAACAGGCCAAGAGUUUGACACAUAUGCAAAACUUGUUGUGAAUGCGGCUGGACCAUUUUGUGACUCUCUAAGGCAAAUGGCUGACAAAGAUGCACAACCAAUGAUAUGUCCCAGCAGCGGUGUACAUAUUGUUCUCCCUGAUUACUGUUCUCCAGAGGGAAUGGGCUUGAUUGUUCCUAAAACUAAGGAUGGACGUGUUGUUUUCAUGCUGCCAUGGUUGGGGAGAACUGUAGCUGGCAUUAC